rnacentral:piRNA from 1 species
UAUCACGGUGGGAAACACUGCAGUGUGCA